AUGAGCUUCACCACCCACUUCCCCUUCUCCUCCAACUAUCGGUCCCUGGGCUCCAUGCAGUCACCCAGCCACUGGGUCUGGCUGGUCAGCAUCUAGGCAGGCGCCAAAGGCUCAAGCUCCCAGAUCUCUCCAUAUCCCACUCCACCAGCUUCUGGGGGCCUGGCCACCAGGAUAGUUGGGAGUCUGGCAGGCAUAGGGGGCAUCCAGGGUGAGAAUGAGACCAUGCAAGACCUGAAUGACUCUCUGGCCUCCUAUUUGGAGAGAGUGAGGAGCCUGGAGGCUGAUAACCAGAGACAGGAGAUCAAAAUCCGAGAACACUUAGAGAAGGUCAGAGACUGGGGCAUUACUUCAAGACAGUCAAGAGCUAAGGGCUCAGAUCUUCGCAAAUUCUGUGGCCAAUACCCAGCUUGCUGCCGAUGAUGAUGACUUCAGAGUCAAGUAUGAAACAGAACUGGCCAUGUGCCAGUCUGUGAAUGACAUCCAUCAGCUCUGCAAGGUCAUUGAUGAUAGCAAUGUCACUUGGCUGCAGGUGGAGACAGAGAUCGAGGCUCUCAAGGAGGAGCCACUUUUCAUGAAGAACCACAAGGAGGAAGUAAAGGGUCUAUAAAACCAAAGUGCCACCUCUGGGUUGACCAUGGAGUUGGAUGCCCCAAAACCUCAGGACCUCAAGAUCAUGGCAGACAUCCUGGCCCAGUAUGACGAGCUGGCUCAGAAGAACCAAGAAAAGCUGGACAAGUACUGGUCCCAGCAGAUUGAGGAGAGCACCAGAGUGGUCACCUUGCAGACCGCUGAGAUAGGAGCAGCUGAGAUAACUCUCACAGAGCUGAGACAUGCGGCCCAAUCUUUGGAGAUCAACCGGGACUUGAUGAGAAACCUGAAGGCCAACUUGGAGAACAGCCUGAGGGAGGUGGAGGCCUGCUACACGAAGCAGAUGGAGCAGCUCAACGGGUCCUGCUGCACGUGGAGUCGGAGCUGUCCCAGACCCGGAAAGAGGUGCAGUGCCAGAUCCAGGAGCACCAGGCCUUGCUCAAGGUCAGGCUGAGAUCGCCCCUACCAUUGCCUGCUGGCAAACAGGGAACACUUCUGCCUUGGUGACGCUCUGGAUAGCAGCAACUCCUUGCAAACCAUCCAGAAGACCACCACCUGCAGGAUUGAGGAUGGCAGCGUGGUGUCUGAGACCAAUGACACCAUAGUUCUGAGGCCUUGA